UGCUUUAACAGUUUGCUAAACGUCUUUGUUUUAACUUUCAUCUGUGCUAAGUAACUUUAGCUCGUAAGCUAACCUGUUCAGAUACAACAUACCAUAUGUAUUUUCACUGUCUCAAACUCAACCGCGUUGCUGUCACAGCACCAUUAGGUCUCGGUUGUUACCUUAGGUUUAUGGAUUAUAGUUUAAUGUGCUUAUCUGGUACUGGCCCCGACUCAGUACAUGCUAUCAUGACAGACAGACAUCUCAACA